ensembl:miRNA
AGGCAUAAAAUAAGGAUGUGCAUCAUGUGGGAGGGAGGAAGGAUGAUUGUCCCUUUGCUGCUUCCAUGGCUGGGUGAGCUCAGAGGGUUAAUUAUCUUACCUCUCCACAGUUUCUCCUGCGGUUGUUGCCUUCAUGGAU